GAAGUUGUUUAUUAUUAAAAUAAUGUGAGGAACAACUAAAGAAUAUCUCUGCUGUGAUAAUUUCAUUUAUUGAAAAAUGUAAACAUCAUCAGCCUAUCGGAGCCCACUGCUGAGCAAAGGCCUCUUCUCACAUGGAGAAGACACGUGACCCCGUCGACACAGGAGCGGCACAAAUCUGGUGCGAACUCGCAGGAACCGGCGCGAUUCGCGCUCUCCAAGUACCACUCGUGACAGUAACUGGAACCAUUCAUAUUAUGAUAUAUAAAUAUACUGAACCGAUAGCGAUGAAACUUAACAGUAACGUAGAUCGGAUAACGGCGUUGACGGCUGGCUAUAUCAUAUGUAUAUGUAUAUCUCUUUCUCAUUGUGAUACUAACCGACACUUGAGCCUGGUUUGAAACACCUCCGGAGGUAACUUCUUAUCAGGCAGAGGUGGACUUGUGUAGGUCUUUUUAAUUGAACCUGGAAUUAAUGAAACACAUAAUAAAGUAUUGCGAUUAAUGUAAAAUUAUUUAUAUGUGUGUGUUUCUGUGUGUGUGUGUGUUUGUGUGUGUGCGUAUGCGUGUGAGUAUGUUUGUGGAAAAUGAGAAAUUAUACAUUGAGGAAUAGAAAAUAAAUUCUCAUAUUAAUAUUGAUAACUUUAUUUGGCUUUAUAUUUUUUAUAUUCGUACUAUUUGCGUAUUAUGUUAACUUUUAUCUGUAUGUCUAUUUAUUUUUGAUAUUUAAUACCGAAUUGUGUGUGUACUAUGUAGUAUGUAUAGUUGGGGAGCUAUGUUGUAACAUACAGACGGACAUUAUCAAAGUUAUUGAAAGAUAUAAGUCCGUUUAUAUGUUAAAAUGAAUUUUCAUUUAGUACGCACCAGAGUCCCUUUUAAGCAGCGGUGGUUUAGUAUUCGGUGAUGACUUCUCCGAACUGAUGACACCGGGACAUACUUGAGGGUAUGUGUAGUCGUGAACCUUGAAUAUAUAUUUAUAUACAAUUUUUAUGAACAGGUAAUUUGAGAUGUUAAUGUAUACACAUAAAGAAAUAGUAUUCUUAUUCUUAAAAUAAUGUAUGAAUUAAAUAUUAUUAAUAGAAAAAAAAUCUCUUUAUAUAUUAAUUAAAUCUAUUUCUUUACUUCUCUAUUUAUUUAAAUUUAUCAUAUUAAUAUUACGCUUGUAAUCAAUGUUGUAAUACUGGUGAUAAGUAUGACAUCUUAUAUAUUAUUAAGUUUAAUAUCUUACUGCAGACAGAUGAACGUACGGACAGCGAUCAUUAUCAGAGUCAUCCAGCUUGUCAUCGUACUGAAUGUUCAGGGAAUCUGGAAAUAACACACACAUGCACACAUAUAUAUAUAUAAAAUAAAUUUGUGUCAGUUCAUAAUUCAAUUAUAUAUGGAUUUGGAUGUAUUCUUUGGGAGGUAGUUUGAGAGCAGGUGACUGACAUGGGAUACUUUUGAUUAAGUUUCUUCGAAACAGAAAAUAAAUACUUAGUAAAAAUCACAAAAAAAUCUUAUUCACAGCCUCUAAGUCUGAGGCGUAACAUAGUUAGUUAUAUAUUUCUGCUUGUCAUGCUAAUGUUGACAAAGUCUUCUAAAUUAGCUAGUUAUGUUAUAAAUUAAACUAAUAUUUAACUAACUAACUAAACUAACUUUUUUUUAUUAUUUUUUACUUUGCAGCACGUGAUCGCGGGCGGACGAGAUGUCAUCUUAUGCGAAUAAAAUACGCGUAGUGAUCCGAAUGAUAUUAGUUUCAUUAAAAUCAGCGGUUCCCAACCGGUGGUCGGCGAACGAAUUCAAAACUAUUUUAAAUUUUAUUCAUGUUUAAAUAAUAUGUUUUUGUUGAUACAAAAUACAUUGAGUUUUUUUUAUUAAAAUUAAUUUUCUUAGUCA